GGGAGUGAAAUAGAACCUGAAACCCUGCACUUACAAGCUGUGGAAGCACAUUUCUUGUGUGACCGCGUACUUUUUGUAGAACGGGCCAACGAGUUACGUUAAGUAGCAAGGUUAAGCACUUAAGGUGCGGAGCCGUAGCGAAAGCGAGUUUUAACUGAGCGUUCAGUUACUGGACGUAGACCCGAAACCGGGCGACCUACCCAUGAGCAGGAUGAAGCGAAAGUAAAAUGU
rnacentral:rRNA from 1 species